ACGAACGCUGGCGGCGUGCCUAACACAUGCAAGUCGAACGAAGCUCUGCGAUACAAGACUUCGGUCAAGUUGAACGGAUGACUUAGUGGCGGACGGGUGAGUAACGCGUGAGGAACCUGCCUUUCAGUGGGGGACAACAGUUGGAAACGACUGCUAAUACCGCAUAAUGUAUUCUGACCGCAUGAUCGGAAUACCAAAGAUUUAUUGCUGAAAGAUGGCCUCGCGUCUGAUUAGAUAGUUGGUGAGGUAACGGCCCACCAAGUCAACGAUCAGUAGCCGGACUGAGAGGUUGAACGGCCACAUUGGGACUGAGAUACGGCCCAGACUCCUACGGGAGGCAGCAGUGGGGAAUAUUGGGCAAUGGGGGAAACCCUGACCCAGCAACGCCGCGUGAAGGAAGAAGGCUUUCGGGUUGUAAACUUCUUUUACCAGGGACGAAGGACGUGACGGUACCUGGAGAAAAAGCCACGGCUAACUACGUGCCAGCAGCCGCGGUAAUACGUAGGUGGCAAGCGUUGUCCGGAUUUACUGGGUGUAAAGGGCGUGUAGGCGGAGAAGCAAGUCAGAAGUGAAAUCCAUGGGCUUAACCCAUGAACUGCUUUUGAAACUGUUUCCCUUGAGUAUCGGAGAGGCAGGCGGAAUUCCUAGUGUAGCGGUGAAAUGCGUAGAUAUUAGGAGGAACACCAGUGGCGAAGGCGGCCUGCUGGACGACAACUGACGCUGAGGCGCGAAAGCGUGGGGAGCAAACAGGAUUAGAUACCCUGGUAGUCCACACCGUAAACGAUGAUUACUAGGUGUUGGAGGAUUGACCCCUUCAGUGCCGCAGUUAACACAAUAAGUAAUCCACCUGGGGAGUACGACCGCAAGGUUGAAACUCAAAGGAAUUGACGGGGGCCCGCACAAGCAGUGGAUUAUGUGGUUUAAUUCGACGCAACGCGAAGAACCUUACCUGCUCUUGACAUCCCGGUGACCGGCGUGUAAUGACGCCUUUUCUUCGGAACACCGGUGACAGGUGGUGCAUGGUUGUCGUCAGCUCGUGUCGUGAGAUGUUGGGUUAAGUCCCGCAACGAGCGCAACCCCUAUUGUUAGUUGCUACGCAAGAGCACUCUAGCGAGACUGCCGUUGACAAAACGGAGGAAGGCGGGGACGACGUCAAAUCAUCAUGCCCCUUAUGUCCCGGGCUACACACGUAAUACAAUGGCGGUCAACAGAGGGAAGCAAAGCCGCGAGGCAGAGCAAACCCCUAAAAGCCGUCUCAGUUCGGAUUGCAGGCUGCAACUCGCCUGCAUGAAGUUGGAAUUGCUAGUAAUCGUGGAUCAGCAUGCCACGGUGAAUACGUUCCCGGGCCUUGUACACACCGCCCGUCACACCAUGAGAGUUGGGAACACCCGAAGUCCGUAGUCUAACCGCAAGGAGGGCGCGGCCGAAGGUGGGCCUGAUAAUUGGGGUG
rnacentral:rRNA from 1 species